rnacentral:rRNA from 2 species
CAAUCAAACCGGGAGAUAGCUGGUUCUCCCCGAAAGCUAUUUAGGUAGCGCCUCGUGAAUUCAUCUCCGGGGGUAGAGCACUGUUUCGGCUAGGGGGCCAUCCCGGCUUACCAACCCGAUGCAAACUGCGAAUACCGGAGAAUGUUAUCACGGGAGACACACGGCGGGUGCUAACGUCCGUCGUGAAGAGGGAAACAACCCAGACCGCCAGCUAAGGUCCCAAAGUCAUGGUUAAGUGGGAAACGAUGUGGGAAGGCCCAGACAGCCAGGAUGUUGGCUUAGAAGCAGCCAUCAUUUAAAGAAAGCGUAAUAGCUCACUGGUCGAGUCGGCCUGCGCGGAAGAUGUAACGGGGCUAAACCAUGCACCGAAGCUGCGGCAGCGAACGUAUCACCCAAGACAACUUUACGGAGUUGACGAUUGACGGAGCGAAGCGACGUCAAAGCGUUCAUUAAAGUCGAGUUGGCUUAGGGAUACGUUCGUUGGGUAGGGGAGCGUUCUGUAAGCCUGUGAAGGUGUGUCGUGAGGCAUGCUGGAGGUAUCAGAAGUGCGAAUGCUGACAUAAGUAACGAUAAAGCGGGUGAAAAGCCCGCUCGCCGGAAGACCAAGGGUUCCUGUCCAACGUUAAUCGGGGCAGGGUGAGUCGACCCCUAAGGCGAGGCCGAAAGGCGUAGUCGAUGGGAAACGGGUUAAUAUUCCCGUACUUGGUGUUACUGCGAAGGGGGGACGGAGAAGGCUAUGUUGGCCGGGCGACGGUUGUCCCGGUUUAAGCGUGUAGGUGUGUGUUCCAGGUAAAUCCGGUUCACUUUAAC